AGAGUUAAAAUAUUACUCAUUUUUUUUUUGUUUAUCAUUUUCCUUACGUCAAAUAAAAAAAAUACUUGGACAUUUUGUAAUAAUUUUUUAUUUAUUUUUUAUUUUUUAUUUAAUUGCUCAUCAUCAUUUACAUAGCAUUAAUGAUUUUUAAUUAAUAGUUUAAUAUAUAAAGGCUAAUUUGAUAUAAAAAAAAAAAAUAUAAAUAAUAAUAUUUACACUUUUUGACAGAACAUUUUGACAGAGUGUAGAUGUUGUGACUUGAGUGUGUGUAAACGACAUCGAUGACGUGUGCCAUCCUUUUUUUUUUAAUAAUUAAUUAUAUUUGUAAUGCAGUAUAUAUAACAAAGAAACAAUAUUUAUUGUUAUAAUGAUACAACUAUUAAUUUAAAAUUAAUAAAUCUAAUAUUAUUUUCAAUGUGAUCCAUGUGUUCAAUUAGUAUCAAAACAAUUGAUGACAAAAUAAUUUAUGACAGCUGAUAUAAUGGAAAAUAAAUACAGGCAUCAAGGAAAUAAUAAUAAUCAACAGUCAUUUUGGAAAAAAAAUGCAAAAACAGUACCAGGAAGACCAAGUCCAAAACAAGAUAAUCGUCCAAAAAUUCAUGCAACAAGUAAUUUACCAGGAGUUGUAGUUGGUAGUGGUAAUGUUGGUGGUGGUGUUGGAGUAACAACUGUUGGUGGUGGUGCAGGAGGAAGUACUAGUGCAGCAUCAUUUAGAGAUUUUCAAGAAAGUACUGAUGAUGCAUGGGAUUCUGGUGAUGAUGAAUUUUGUCUUGUAUCUGAUAUUAAAAUAUCAAAAAAAGUAAGUCAUUCAGCAGCAAUGUCUGUUAUAAAUUCUCAUCGUAGUGGUAAUCGUGAUACAUCAACAAAAGAUGAUACACAAUAUUAUAAUAAAAAUUUACAAGAAAUAAUACCAGAAGAAAAACGCAUUGAAGCAUUACAAAGACUUGCUGUUCAACCAUUACAUUUACGUAAUGAUCGUAAUAAAUGUCAUGAUAAUAAUGACAAUAAUGAUUAUGGUAAUUCACCAAAUCGUGGUUCAACCCAUUAUCCUGGUAGACCUCAACCACUUAAAUCAGCAUCAGCAAAUAAAUUUUUUGUACCAUCAAAAGAACAAGAUGGUGAAAGUAAAAUUGAUAAAUUUCAAAGUUUACUUGAUGCAUCAUUGCUUAAUUUAGAUGAACUACGACAAUUAUCAUGGUCUGGUGUACCAGCAAAGCUACGUUCAGUAACAUGGCGUUUAUUAUCAGAAUAUUUACCAGCAAGUUUAGAACGUCGUCAACAAGUACUUGAACGUAAACGUUUUGAUUAUUUAAACUUAGUUAAACAAUAUUAUAAUGUUGAAAGAGACGAAAGUUUUCAAGAUACAUAUCGUCAAAUUCACAUUGAUAUACCACGUAUGUCACCAUUAAUAUCAUUAUUUCAACAAAAUACUGUACAACUUAUAUUUGAAAGAAUAUUAUACAUUUGGGCAAUUCGUCAUCCAGCAUCAGGCUAUGUACAAGGCAUGAACGAUUUAGUAACACCAUUUUUUUUAGUAUUUUUACAAGAAACAAUACCAGUAUCAUCAUGGCAAGAUAUUGAAAAUUAUGAUGUUGCAUCAUUAGAUCAAAAACAACGUGAAAUACUUGAAGCUGAUAGUUUUUGGUGUCUAUCAAAAUUUCUUGAUGGUAUACAAGAUAAUUAUAUUUUUGCUCAAUUAGGAAUUCAACAUAAAGUUAAUCAAUUAAAAGAAUUAAUACAAAGAAUUGAUGCACCAUUACAUCAACAUUUACAUAAACAUGGUGUUGAUUAUUUACAAUUUUCAUUUAGAUGGAUGAAUAAUUUAUUGACACGUGAAAUUCCACUUCAUUGUACAAUUAGACUUUGGGAUACAUAUUUAGCUGAAUCAGAUAGAUUUGCAUCAUUUCAACUUUAUGUUUGUGCUGCAUUUUUAUUGAGAUGGAGAAGACAUCUUCUUGCUCAACCAGAUUUUCAGGGCUUAAUGUUGAUGCUGCAAAAUUUACCAACACAAAAUUGGUCAGACUCGGAAAUUGGUGUUCUUGUUGCUGAAGCUUAUAAAUUAAAAUUUACAUUUGCUGAUGCACCAAAUCAUCUACAAGCACAUGAUCCUAGAUGACCAAUUUCACGUUUACCACCAAAUCGAUAAAAUUAAAUCAACUUCCAAAUUGGCCAGAUUUUUUACCAUUCAAUGCUGCCUGCAUAAACAUCAAUUAUUGUAAUAUUAAUAAUUCUUUUUUAUAUAUUAAAAUAGGCAUAUAUAUAUAUAUACAAAUUAAUUAAAAAUUAUAAAAUAAUAAAUUUUAAAAAAACACAA
rnacentral:misc_RNA from 1 species